rnacentral:rRNA from 1 species
GAUGAACGCUAGCUACAGGCUUAACACAUGCAAGUCGAGGGGCAGCAUGUCGGUUGCUUGCAACCGAUGAUGGCGACCGGCGCACGGGUGAGUAACGCGUAUCCAACCUACCCUUGUCCAUCGGAUAACCCGUCGAAAGGCGGCCUAACACGAUAUGCGGUUCACAGCAGGCAUCUAACGUGAACGAAAUGUGAAGGAGAAGGAUGGGGAUGCGUCUGAUUAGCUUGUUGGCGGGGUAACGGCCCACCAAGGCGACGAUCGGUAGGGGUUCUGAGAGGAAGGUCCCCCACAUUGGAACUGAGACACGGUCCAAAACUCCUACGGGAGGCAGCAGUGAGGAAUAUUGGUCAAUGGUCGCGAGACUGAACCAGCCAAGUAGCGUGCAGGAUGACGGCCCUCUGGGUUGUAAACUGCUUUUAGUUGGGAAUAAACUGACUCACGUGUGGGUCAUUGCAGGUACCGCAUGAAUAAGGACCGGCUAAUUCCGUGCCAGCA